AACGGAGGUUUUUAAACGGAAGUUUUCGGAUGGAAGUUAGAAGCUUAGUGGCGGACGGGUGAGUAACGCGUGGGUAACCUGCCUCAUACAGGGGGAUAACAGUUAGAAAUGACUGCUAACACCGCAUAAUAUAGCGAAACCGCAUGAUUUUGCUAUCAAAUAUUUAUAGGUAUGAGAUGGGCCCGCGUCUGAUUAGCUAGUUGGUGGGGUAAAAGCCUACCAAGGCGACGAUCAGUAGCCGGCUUGAGAGAGUGACCGGCCACAUUGGGACUGAGACACGGCCCAAACUCCUACGGGAGGCAGCAGUGGGGAAUAUUGGACAAUGGGGGAAACCCUGAUCCAGCGAACCGCCGCGUGAGUGAAGAAGUAUUUCGGUAUGUAAAGCUCUAUCAGCAGGGAAGAUAAUGACAGUACCUGACUAAGAAGCCCCGGCUAACUACGUGCCAGCAGCUGC
rnacentral:rRNA from 1 species